UUAAACAGACCAGUUUAGUGUAGAUCCAGUCAGACGUUUGGACACUCAGUUUGGAAAACAAAGUCGUCAGUUUUGAACAUUUUUGAUGAUUCAUAUGAAAGAACUGUACAAAACAGAUUUUUUUUUUAUUUUACAUUAUGUUUAGAGUUCCUAAUUGCACUUUCUAAACCAUUUGAAAGGUUUAUUGAAGUUUAUUUUGACAUCUUUGAUCAAAGUAGUCAACCUAUUGUUUUUGUCCGUUUUAGUUUUUUUUUUAUUAUUUAUUCUACAAUGGCUGAUAUACUUCUAAUUGCACUGAGUGAAUAAAUUAAAGUUGUUUUCACACGUUUGACCUCGCUUGUGAUGUUGUUGGUGUAUCCAGGUGUGGUGUUCUGGUGCAAAGUUAUCAAAUAAAUUCAUAAUUCAGUACAUUUUUGUUUGUGUUUCAAAAAAAGAAACAUUUUAAAUCAAUUGUUUUUCUAUAUCGGCUCAGUAUCAGUCGAUGCUAACCCUCAGAUAUCGGUAUUGAAAGCGAAAAAAGUGGAUCAGUGCUUCCCUCCACCCUACAUGCCAAUUAGUGCAGUGCUGUUGGGUUAUUGUGUUCCCCAAAUGAACUUCUGUCCUUGUGGCCUGUUCCAACCACACCCAAGCAGUUGACACACUGUUUUUCAUCUUUCAAUGUAAGCUAGUAUAUUGAAAAAUGUGUGUUACAUAGGUCUAACCCGGAGGACAUGAAAAAAAUUCUGUAGGACGCUUUCCUUUAAAGAUCGUCUGGUGGUUUUGAUAGAACUGGCUCUGAAUAUUUAGCGCUUAUUGGGAUCAAAGGUGUGGAAUUGCUAGCGUUCCACAGCAUCAGGACAAACACCUCAGUUUUACCACAAACUUUUGUUUUGCUUAGUUAUUUAUUUAUAACAAAAAGCAAAAAAGGGUCCAACACAUCAGCUUACAAGUAGGUCUGUCACAGAAAGCAAUAAAUCAGUUAAUCGCAUGAUAAAUUAAAACAAACUCGAUGACUUCUGUUUGCAUGAUUUAUUGUUUCUCUUUACUCUCUAGAUGAGAAAAAUCUUCAGUCUGAUGCUUCGGUCUUAAAUAGACCCUUUUUAGGACAGGGUCUUCAUUGUUGUUUUGUUUACUUACUUUGGAUAUUUAAAUGGUCUUCCAGUUCAAGUGCUAAAUGCUCAUUAGAAUUUAAAGUUUAUUGAUCUUAAAGAAUGUGUUUUUGCAUCGUUUUUCGUUUACCAUUACAUUACUUGAAAAUGGUCUCAAAGCAACGAUAUUAUCGUUUAUCGCAAUAACUUCAGUUUAUCGUCCAGCACAAUUUGUCAUCUUGGCAGGUCUAGUCAUAGGGUAAAAACAUCCGAUUCAAACACAGCUACACUGCGUCUUUUUAAACUUUAAAUAUCUGGUUUCGACAGCACAAAGGUCAGAGGACACGUUACACAAGCCGGGCCGUGGCUCCCCUGCUCCCCUGGCGCAGGAACACAGGAACGGCCCCACAACAUUUACAUUUACGGCCUCGGUUCAGCUGGACGAGCCGAGGAUGGAAAAACCGAGCGGAAACAGGGCGAGUGGUUGUGCUGUGAGUGCAGGCCUGCCUCUCUGCGAAGAAGAGCGGAGGAAGGUUAUUGACAAGCAGCAGAAAUCAAGAGGAUGAGAAGCCACAGGGGGAGGGGUUUAUGCGAGUGGCGUGUUUAGUGCUCUUCCUCUUCGCCACCAGCAGGUUCCUGCUGCACCGAUCCUAUUCUUGGAGCUCCCGCAUCCCCUCAAAGUGUUUAUCGCCUCCUCUCUGCACAUCAGUGUGAUGUGGCCGGCGUCUGCGGGGCGUGACCGGCCAGAGCCGGCGCCUGUUAGCGUGCGUGUUUGUCAAGACACACCGCAGACGCGCUCCGCUAUAAAUAUCAACUCUAGUGAUCUCCUGCUUCGCGUUCUUCCAAGAAAACAUCUGCAAGAGGCAAGAAUCAGGACACAGCGUCAACAGAGCUGCUGCGUUCCAGCCAAUUAGUACGUUAGACCUGCCAAGUUUCCCGCCAAAUAAUCUGCUGUGUGGCGGGUUGAUGGCGCGGCGUGGAAUCAGGUGGAAGAAAAAAA